rnacentral:rRNA from 1 species
UACGGAGGGUGCAAGCGUUAUCCGGAUUUACUGGGUUUAAAGGGUGCGUAGGUGGGUUGGGAAGUCAGUGGUGAAAUACUUUCGCUUAACGAAGGAACUGCCAUUGAUACUAUCAAUCUUGAAUGUAGUGGAGGUAGGCGGAAUGCGUCAGUGUAGCGGUGAAAUGCUUAGAUAUGACGCAGAACACCAAUUGCGAAGGCAGCUUGCUACACUACUAUUGACACUGAGGCACUGAAAGCGUGGGGAUCAAACAGG